GAAGAUUCCAAAUUCAGCCUCCACCUCCACUCAGCUGGAAGAUGCCUGUUCAUAUAAGAAGAUGAGACUCAUGAGACUCUCUAUAUAAAUGGGUAAGAGAGCAAACUAAGCUCUUUAUUAGUGGCUCAGAAAUAAUCUGCUAAUGUUCACAUAUCACUGACAGGAACAGGUACGUGCACACAUAAGGCCCAAGGGGUGCUUGAGGCCCUGCCCGUUUUACCUCGUUUUAAAAAGUGCCCUUUUUGCCUUUUUGUGUGUUUUUUUUAAAUAAAUAAAUACAUUCCUGUUGUGCAUAGGGAUGUGAAAAAACGGCGGUUUCAAAACGCCUCAGCUAUCUACCGUACGCAUUUCUACGUAAUAUGGUGUUGUUAAGCCUGAUUUGCGUCGCCGCGACGACGUAGCUACGUCGAGACGCGGACGGCAUGGACUGUGAUUGGUCCGCUCAGAACGUCAUUUCCGGCAGUUGCUUUUCCGGUCAACAGUAUAACAACACCGCCAUUUUUAAAGUUUUUGUGGUACGAGCGGCGAGAGGGGUCUGUCUGUAGCCUGCAAGAGAGGGGCGUGACCUGUAGUGGGCGUAACGUGUAGUUGUGUAAAUCACGUUGAACCACGCGAGAUGUAGAAUGAGACCCGCCAAAAGCAAGAACAGAACAAGGAAAUACACAAGAGAUGCCUCAAAAACGAAAAAUGGCGGAUCGUAUCCAGACUGCUGCAGACGGAUACAGUUGGAGGAGCGGCACGGAAAAAAUGGACCAGGCAAACGAGAGCUCCAUCUCCAAAAACACCCGCUCCAUCUCAGUUGCCAUUGUUUACUGUCUGACCGGAAGAAAACCAAGGAAUCUGAUAUGAACCCCCCGAAACCAAACAAAGACACAGCCACACCCCCCUAGCGGCUUGGCGGUGAAUUGCAGAACAACGCGUUCCCUCGACGCAGAACUUCGAAAGCUCAAUGAUGGCGUAGGGCCGUCGCCGCGACGCAGAAGCAUACACCAGGCUUUAGUGUGUUGAGCCUAAAGCCGCUUCUCUGUCCGCUGCGGCUCCGCUCUGUCUCUCACAGAGUAGAGAGAGAGAGAGAGAGACAGAGAGAGAGAGAGAAGCGGCUGCCUCAUCUAGAACUCCAUCAUGCACGUAUAUGUGACAGUGGAGCGACUUGAUCCUUUGUGAGUUAUAAAUCCAUGAACAUAACUUCCUUGUGGGGGCUAACAAGUCGCCGUCCACUUAAUCAACGUGCUUAAAUAUGAGCCAUAUUUCAGAUAAGCGCCCAUUUGUGUUUGUUAAGCUAACUGCUGGUUAAUGAGAGUUACGAAAAAUAUUACAGCUGUCUGUGGCCCUUUUUAGAUAGAAAAGGCGGCACAUUUGCUCCAAGGUAAGGACGGCAAUGUGUCGGCCUGUCUUUCUAAAACCGAGGCGUAAUAUUCCUCCUUUUCCAAAAGCCACCUCUGAGGUAGGCGUAAACAUGUGACGUGGCGUGAAGCUCGAAGUUGGGCUGUGAACAGUGACAUAGAAUUUGUCUUCAAAAUAAGAGUUUAACAUUGCACCCCACUGGAGAUUAGAACUGGGUUCUUAGCGGGGGGCUAACACCACAUCAAGCUAACACAACCAAACAGCUACAGAGACCGAGGAGACGCUAGCAUCUCUUGGAUCUCAGCGGCUGUCCAGUUGCCCAUCUUAAUGUCCGUGGAUGAAAUGAUGGACUGACUGCUGUGAUCAGCGGUUUCUUGGUUUUAAAACUCCCCGGCUGUGGGUCGCGCAACAGUGCAGGUCAUUGACACCUCCGCCCACCUCACACAGAGGCCGGCACAUUUCCACCUCGUUUUUAAGGCAGGAACACACCGGCCCAACCGUUGGACGUCUGAAGCGUUUGGACAGACUCGGACGAGGUCGGGAACAAAUAUGUUUUGUGUGUUCAGCUGCGUCGGAAGCUUUCGGAGCCAUGCGGACGUUGUUGGAUCCGACUGAGCAUGCAAAGUCUGAGGAGGUGGGCCGUCGGACGUCUGAGCCAUUGGAUUCUCUG
rnacentral:lncRNA from 1 species